UACAGAGGUGGCAAGCGUUGUUCGGAAUUACUGGGCGUAAAGGGCGCGUAGGCGGCCUACUAAGUCAGACGUGAAAUCCCCCGGCUUAACCUGGGAACUGCGUCUGAUACUGGAAGGCUUGAGGAUGGGAGAGGGAUGUAGAAUUCCAGGUGUAGCGGUGAAAUGCGUAGAUAUCUGGAGGAACACCGGUGGCGAAGGCGGCUUUCUGGACGGUGACUGACGCUGAGACGCGAAAGCGUGGGGAGCAAACAGG
rnacentral:rRNA from 1 species